rnacentral:ncRNA from 1 species
UUUACGGCGAUGAAGAGGAUUAGUAGAGAAUAAGAUUCUAAAAGAGAGGAAAACUCACCGGCUGAAAGGUUUUCUGAGAUUAUUUUUCUUGAACCCGCCCUCAAAGCUGCAGAUGAAAAGUCUUGCCGCAGUCCUGCGUUAUUGGCAUACAAGAGGAUUAUACCUUUGAGCCCUUUUCUAGGGAGGGCAUCUGUGUAUAGUCAAAUUGGGUGGUACCGCGAAUAACCUUCGUCCCUUUU